CUGGGACGAGGAAGACGGUUAAUCCGCCCGGUUUGGAACCGGGAGACACGCGGUUCGACUCCGUGGUCCCAGA
rnacentral:tRNA from 1 species